rnacentral:rRNA from 1 species
GGACUACAAGGGUUUCUAAUCCUGUUUGCUCCCCACGCUUUCGCACCUCAGCGUCAAUGUUGGCCCAGGUCGCCGCCUUCGCCACUGGUGUUCCUCCCGAUAUCUACGAAUUUCACCUCUACACCGGGAAUUCCGCGACCCUCUUCCACAUUCAAGCCUGACAGUUUCGAAUGCACUUCCUGGGUUGAGCCCAGGGCUUUCACAUCCGACUUAUCAGGCCGCCUACGUGCGCUUUACGCCCAAUGAUUCCGAGCAACGUUUGCACCCUCCGUAUUACCGCGGCUGCUGGCAC